UCUGCAGUCCUCUUUGCAGGGGGUCAUGACAGAUACAGCACAGGCAGUGACAGUGUGAGCUUUCCCCACAGUACCCUGUUUAUGUGCUUCAACCCUGAUAUGGAGGGACCCUUGUAGAGACCUGUGCCAUUCAAGGACAAUCUGCCAUUCCAGAGGCAGCU
ensembl:misc_RNA